rnacentral:rRNA from 1 species
ACCGGAUGCGGAUCUCAAAGCCUGUCCCAGUUCGGACUGGAGUCUGCAACCCGACUCCACGAAGUUGGAUUCGCUAGUAAUCGCGCAUCAGCCAUGGCGCGGUGAAUACGUUCCCGGGCCCUGUACACACCGCCCGUCACACCAUGGGAGUCGGAAAUGCCCGAAGCCGGUGACCCAACCAAAAGGAGGGAGCCGUCGAAGGCAGGUCUGAUAACUGGGGUGAAGUCGUAACAAGGUAUC